UACGGGGGGGGCAAGCGUUGUUCGGAAUUACUGGGCGUAAAGGGCUCGUAGGCGGCCAACUAAGUCAGACGUGAAAUCCCUCGGCUUAACCGGGGAACUGCAUCUGAUACUGGAUGGCUUGAGUUCGGGAGAGGGAUGCGGAAUUCCAGGUGUAGCGGUGAAAUGCGUAGAGAUCUGGAGGAACACCCGUGGCGAAGGCGGCUCCCUGGUCCGGUUCUGACGCUGAGACGCGAAAGCGCGGGGAGCGAAACGGG
rnacentral:rRNA from 1 species